UGGGGGGGCGAGGGAGGACCUGAGGGGGCGGCAGGGCCACAGGGACCCCCGGAGCCCUGCCGCCGUCCGAGACCCAGCGUCUGGCAUCUUUCGGACCCCGCAGAAGGACCGGCCACAGGGAGGUGUCCUCCCUGGGGAAGCCAGCGAGAGAUCCACCUGCCCCCAUCAGGAGGGCCCCCUCUGACGCCUGGCAGCCCUGGCAGUCUCCGCCCAGCGCCCUGGCCAGGCCCGGGCCCCCACCUCCAGCUGCCUCCCACGGCCCCCAGCCCUCCAAGUCCAGCACCCCUGCUGCGCCCCGGCCCUCGGGUCCCGGCCACACUGACCCCCAUCCUGGGAUCUCUGCCAGGUCUCCGGGAGGGAGACCGUGUGUUUGGGCUAUGCCCCCUGGUGGCACGACGGUGUCUGCCUAGACCCCUGACCCCUAGCCCCGGCUCCCUGGGCCUCCUUUGUGUGAAGAGCUGCUCCUCUGCUCAGAGUGUUUGGGGGCCAAAGGGAAAGCCAGCCCAGGCGGGGCCCCCGGCCCCCACCACUUGCCUCCUGGUUGGGCAGCUCCCCUGGCUUUGGGGCCUCUCCCUGCUCCCCUCGGCCCCUCCUCGUGGGCCGCCCCAAUGAAGGAGCCGGAUGCCAUCAAGCUGUUUGUGGGGCAGAUCCCGAGGCAUCUGGAGGAAAAGGACCUGAAACCCAUCUUCGAGCAGUUUGGUCGGAUCUUCGAGCUGACUGUCAUCAAGGACAAGUACACCGGGCUGCACAAGGGAUGUGCCUUCCUGACAUACUGUGCCCGCGAUUCAGCCCUGAAGGCCCAGAGUGCCCUGCACGAACAGAAGACGCUUCCAGGGAUGAACAGGCCGAUCCAGGUCAAGCCCGCCGACAGCGAGAGCCGAGGAGAAGACCGGAAGCUCUUUGUGGGGAUGCUAGGGAAGCAGCAGACAGAUGAGGACGUUCGGAAGAUGUUCGAGCCCUUCGGGACCAUAGAUGAGUGCACUGUGCUCCGGGGGCCAGAUGGCACCAGCAAAGGCUGCGCCUUCGUGAAGUUCCAGACCCAUGCUGAGGCCCAGGCCGCCAUCAACACCCUCCACAGCAGCCGGACCCUGCCUGGUGCCUCAUCCAGCCUGGUGGUGAAGUUCGCUGACACCGAGAAGGAGCGAGGUCUGCGACGCAUGCAGCAGGUGGCCACCCAGCUGGGCAUGUUCAGCCCCAUCGCCCUCCAGUUUGGAGCCUACAGCGCCUACACCCAGGCCCUGAUGCAGCAGCAGGCGGCCCUGGUAGCGGCCCACAGUGCCUACCUCAGCCCCAUGGCCACCAUGGCUGCCGUGCAGAUGCAGCACAUGGCCGCCAUCAAUGCCAACGGCCUCAUCGCCACCCCCAUCACCCCCUCCUCAGGAACCAGCACCCCUCCUGCCAUCGCUGCCACGCCCGUCUCUGCCAUCCCUGCUGCCCUGGGCGUCAACGGCUACAGCCCGGUGCCCACCCAGCCCACUGGGCAGCCUGCCCCCGACGCUCUGUAUCCCAACGGGGUUCACCCCUACCCAGCCCAGAGCCCCGCGGCCCCCGUGGACCCCCUGCAGCAGGCCUACGCAGGGAUGCAGCACUAUACAGCAGCCUACCCGGCAGCCUACAGCCUGGUUGCGCCUGCGUUCCCGCAGCCUCCCGCCCUAGUGGCCCAGCAGCCUCCACCUCCGCCUCAACAGCAGCAGCAGCAACAGCAGCAGCAGCAGCAGCAGCAGCGAGAAGGCCCUGAUGGCUGUAACAUCUUCAUCUACCACCUGCCCCAGGAGUUCACGGACUCAGAGAUCCUCCAGAUGUUUGUCCCCUUUGGCCAUGUCAUCUCAGCCAAAGUCUUUGUUGACCGGGCCACCAAUCAGAGCAAAUGUUUUGGCUUUGUGAGUUUCGACAAUCCGGCCAGUGCCCAGGCGGCCAUCCAGGCCAUGAAUGGUUUCCAGAUCGGCAUGAAGCGCCUCAAAGUCCAGCUAAAGCGGCCUAAGGAUGCCAACCGGCCCUACUGAGGGCUCCAGCCCAGGGCCCGUGUCCAUUGUCGGCUGAAGCCCCCAUCCCCGGACCCCUGCUCCGGGCCCCUGUCUGGAGAUGCCAGAGGAAGGGGUGCCUCACACCCUCCUCCCACAACUGGCUCCGGCCCUCUCUGCACAUCUGCCCUGGGCCUCGAUCGGGCUCUGGGGCCAAAGCUGCUUCACGGCCCCGGGGGCACAGGGCACUAGCCUGCUCCUGCUACCCUGCCUCUCUGACGGCCGUGGCUUGGCUUCCCUGGCUCCGCGGGCCUAUUCCUCCCAGGUGCCCUUUUGGCCUUUGCGAGGGAGCAAGGAAUAGGCUGGAAGUUUCCAGGGUAUCUGCCUUCUGCUCGGGCUCCUGUGGUGGGCCCUCUGUGCCCAGUGCUCACACCUGCCUCCCGACCAGUGGGCCUGCUCUAGUCGUGGAGCCCAGGGUGGGCGGCGGGGCUCCCACACUCCCCAGCCCACCCUCACCCCAGCCUCUUCCCCGCAGUAGGGGCUCCUCAGAAGCUGGCCUCACACUCCCCUCCACCCAGCUAGAGGUAGGGUAUCCCUGAAUCCUGGGCUCCCAGCCCUAAAACUCACUGCCUCCCCCAAGGGCCCCCUCCAAGGAGGGUGUGGGGGAGCCCUGAGGGCUGCCUCUCCGCCAGUCAGCCACAGAGACCCUCCUCCUUUCUCGAGGAAAAGACCUCCCCC